AUGGCCACGCCAUCCCAGUGCCGCGAGUGCCUGGCCGCCGCGGCCAGGAAGCUCGCCGACGCCUGCGGCACCCGCGGCCGGCGCGCUGGCGUCUGGAUGGACGCCUGCUUCGCGUCCUACGCCGACACCAACCCGUCCUCGCCCAGUUACGAUGGCUUCCGCGCGCGCGUCAUCACCGGCGCCAACGCGCUUGCCACCAGCUCGUCGUCCGAGCUGCAGAGCCUCACCGACUUGGCCUCGCGCGGCAGUCGGUGCGGGCGGGGGACACCUGCUGUUGGGGCCUCGUCGCGUGGCGCGACGGCGUGGCCGGCGCCAUCGUCGGCUUCGACUGCUACCUGCGCUCUGCCUCGUUGCCUUGAGCCCUGCGGCCGGUAA
rnacentral:rRNA from 1 species